GGUCGGGUGGUGUAGUUGGUUAUGUACGUGCUCACCUGAUGAUGACUGACAGGAGUUCAGCAAAGACUAAUAUGCACACAGCACAUCUCGUUAACAGUUUACUGUGACAUAUUCCGAGAAGGUCCUGGGAUCGAGCCCCAGCCUGAUCA